AUUGAACGCUGGCGGCAUGCCUAACACAUGCAAGUCGAACGGAGGUAGGGGCAACUCUACUUCAGUGGCGGACGGGUGAGGAAUGCGUCGGAAUCUACCCUAUGGUGGGGGAUAACACAGGGAAACUUGUGCUAAUACCGCAUGAUGUCGAGAGACCAAAGCAGGGGACCGCAAGGCCUUGCGCGAUAGGAUGAGCCGACGCCCGAUUAGCUUGUUGGUAGGGUAAUGGCCUACCAAGGCGACGACCGGUAGCUGGUCUGAGAGGAUGAUCAGCCACACUGGGACUGAGACACGGCCCAGACUCCUACGGGAGGCAGCAGUGGGGAAUAUUGGACAAUGGGCGCAAGCCUGAUCCAGCAAUGCCGCGUGUGUGAAGAAGGCCUGCGGGUUGUAAAGCACUUUUGUUCGGGAAGAAAUCAUGCUGGUUAAUACCUGGUAUGGAUGACGGUACCGAAAGAAUAAGCACCGGCUAACUUCGUGCCAGCCGCCGCGGUAAGAC
rnacentral:rRNA from 1 species